rnacentral:rRNA from 1 species
GACGAACGCUGGCGGCGUGCUUAACACAUGCAAGUCGAACGGAAAGGCCCUGCUUUUGUGGGGUGCUCGAGUGGCGAACGGGUGAGUAACACGUGAGUAACCUGCCCUUGACUUUGGGAUAACUUCAGGAAACUGGGGCUAAUACCGGAUAGGAGCUCCUGCUGCAUGGUGGGGGUUGGAAAGUUUCGGCGGUUGGGGAUGGACUCGCGGCUUAUCAGCUUGUUGGUGGGGUAGUGGCUUACCAAGGCUUUGACGGGUAGCCGGCCUGAGAGGAUGACCGGCCACAUUGGGACUAGGAUACAGCCCAGUCUCCUACGGGGGGCAGCAGUGGGGAGUAUUGUAGAAUGGGCGGAAGCCUGAUGCAGCAACGCCGCGUGCGGGAUGACGGCCUUCGGGGUGUAAACCGCUUUCGCCUGUGACGAAGCGUGAGUGACGGUAAUGGGUAAAGAAGCACCGGCUAACUACGUG